GAGAGCGAGGCAGAGAGAGAGAGAGAGAGAGAGAGAGAUGGAAAAAAUGUUAAAUACAGUUAAUGCAAUAUUAAUCGCCCUUUGGUGAUAUAAAACGCAAUAUUUUCAGGCGGCUAUUGAGCUUCUUCGAGCGGCGGAGAGCCCAGGAAAACAGAUCCCGAGGAAGAGGGCAGAAUGGGGGAGAGAGGCAGAGAGAGAGGCCAAGGAGGCUAAGACAAUGAAGUUUGAUCCCGCCUGCAUGCCAUCUCCAAACUGGAUGCUACCAGACUGCUUCCGACGGCAAAUCACGGGUACUAUAGGAACUAUGCAUGGAGUCCCCUGGUGGUGCAGCGGAUUAAACCAUUGAGGUGCUGAAUUUGCUGACCGAAAGGUUUGCCCAUGUUUCUGGCUUUAAUAUGCAGCACUAGAUUCACCAACCUCUUCUACAGAUGCUAAACAUUCAAUCCUGGAGGCUCCACUUCAUCAUCAGGCAACAGAUUCUGAAGUAUACAGAUUGGUGCCAAGCUGUUGGGGGAUAGGGCUUUGAAUGGCCUAUGCAAUUCUCUCUUUGCCCUCCACGCUAUCCUGUCACCAGAGUUGAACUCUAUGAAAGCAGCUCCAGCACCGUGGCAGCAAAUACUUUGGUACAUACUGAAAAUGGAUACUAAAUCCUGCUAAUCUUCUACAUGGACCUGAACAAAUCAUCACACAAAGCUCUAGUAAGAACACUGGAAUCCAGUGAAAGAAGUUCCAACUUGAAAACUCUUUAAUCUUGAAAAUGUAAAGUUGUUUGAAUUUAGGUUUCACAUUAUCAAUGUUUCAGUUUAUCCGAAGACUGGUUCACACAUUGGAACUUAAAUAAUGGUUGUCUGCCUUGUCUACUCGCCUGCUAUCUGAAUGGCUGGCACACACUUAACAUCCCAUCUUCAAAAUUCUGAAAUCCCAAAGAAUCCAAAUUCCAGAGUUGUCCACAAGGUAGAUGAAAUAGUAACAACUUUCCUUUCUGAUGGUUCGCAAACUAUGUUCCGUGAAUAAAAUUAUUAAAAAUAAUGUAUAUAAAAUCACUUUCAGUCUGUGUGCAAGGUGUAUAUGAAUCUUAAAUAAAUUUCAUGUUUAGACGUG